AAAUGAAUAGACGGGGGCCCGCACAAGCGGUGGAGCAUGUGGUUUAAUUCGAAGCUACGCGAAGAACCUUACCAGGUCUUGACAUCUUCUGCCAAUCUUAGAGAUAAGACGUUCCCUUCGGGGACAGAAUGACAGGUGGUGCAUGGUUGUCGUCAGCUCGUGUCGUGAGAUGUUGGGUUAAGUCCCGCAACGAGCGCAACCCUUAUUAUCAGUUGCCAGCAUUCAGUUGGGCACUCUGGUGAGACUGCCGGUGACAAACCGGAGGAAGGUGGGGAUGACGUCAAAUCAUCAUGCCCCUUAUGACCUGGGCUACACACGUGCUACAAUGGACGGUACAACGAGUUGCGAAGUCGUGAGGCUAAGCUAAUCUCUUAAAGCCGUUCUCAGUUCGGAUUGUAGGCUGCAACUCGCCUACAUGAAGUUGGAAUCGCUAGUAAUCGCGGAUCAGCAUGCCGCGGUGAAUACGUUCCCGGGCCUUGUACACACCGCCCGU
rnacentral:rRNA from 1 species